rnacentral:lncRNA from 1 species
CUGAGUGGCCUUGCUGUGCUCCUCCGUCAGCUCAUUGAGGGCAUCCUGUAGCUGCUGCAGAUGACUGGCAAACUCCCGCAGCUGAGACGGGCAAGUGAGAAUCCCCAUCACCCAGAGUCAACGCUGACCCCACCACUGCUGUCUGCUCCCAGAACCCCAGGGGCUGGAUGCCUCCAAUUAUCCUGCCAACCCUCUACAAACCAAUCACAGCCAUCACACCUCUAAUUCAGAACUACAAAUCAACAUUUAGGGUCACAGCCCAGUACCCGGGAAGCCGCCAAUUAUGGGAUAAGGAAAGGGGCAAAAUAUGCAGGUCUCUGGAGAGACUGAAGCAUAAGACAGGUGCUGGGACAUUCUUCUCAACCCUCUCUUGGGGAGCCUUCCAGACCACCUCAGCCCUGAGGGGCCUCCAUGCACACACCACCUUAACAC